AGUGAACGCUGGCGGUAGGCCUAACACAUGCAAGUCGAACGGCAGCACAGUAAGAGCUUGCUCUUACGGGUGGCGAGUGGCGGACGGGUGAGGAAUACAUCGGAAUCUACUUUUUCGUGGGGGAUAACGUAGGGAAACUUACGCUAAUACCGCAUACGACCUACGGGUGAAAGCAGGGGAUCUUCGGACCUUGCGCGAUUGAAUGAGCCGAUGUCGGAUUAGCUAGUUGGCGGGGUGAAGGCCCACCAAGGCGACGAUCCGUAGCUGGUCUGAGAGGAUGAUCAGCCACACUGGAACUGAGACACGGUCCAGACUCCUACGGGAGGCAGCAGUGGGGAAUAUUGGACAAUGGGCGCAAGCCUGAUCCAGCCAUACCGCGUGGGUGAAGAAGGCCUUCGGGUUGUAAAGCCCUUUUGUUGGGAAAGAAAAGCAGCAGGCUAAUACCCCGCUGUUCUGACGGUACCCAAAGAAUAAGCACCGGCUAACUUCGUG
rnacentral:rRNA from 1 species